AUGCCUCUUCGUGUUUUAGGUUACAAAACUCCUGCUGAAUGUCUUUUAAAUUCUAAUGAAUUUGUGGUUCCUCCAAAGGUCUUUGGGAGUGUUUGUUUUGUGCAUGACUAUAGAAAUUCGGUUGGGAAAUUAGAUCCCCGUGCUCUAAAAUGUGUGUUUAUGGGUUAUUCCCCCUCAAAAAAGGGCUAUAGAUGUUGGUGUCCUUCAGAGCAUCGUUUUUUUGUGAGCAUGGAUGUAACUUUCCGUGAAAAUGAACCGUAUUAUGGGUCAAAUGUUGGGUCUGGUAUUUCCUUGUCACCUCCUGAUGAGGAGCAAGAAAGGGGAAGUGAAGGGCCUGUCCUUGCUCUUGCUCCCACUUUAGGUGAUUCUCUGUCUACUGAUAACACUCAAAAUCAGGGGGAGGAGAAUGGUGGUGUUAGCGAUGAUAACUCUUGUCAUGGAGACAAAGGCGAUGUCACUGGACACUUAUCACUUCCAUCUCAAGUGAGGAGUCUCAAAUGCGUGAGGGCCCAGGUACCAAUACUAUGCCUUCUAAUUCUGUAG
rnacentral:rRNA from 1 species